rnacentral:rRNA from 1 species
CAGUAGCCACGGUAAUACGGAGGAUCCAAGCGUUAUCCUGAAUCAUUGGGUUUAAAGGGUCCGUAGGCGGUCUUGUAAGUCAGUUGUGAAAGCCCAUCGCUCAACGGUGGAACGGCCAUUGAUACUGCAGGACUUGAAUUAUUGGGAAGUAACUAGAAUAUGUAGUGUAGCGGUGAAAUGCUUAGAGAUUACAUGGAAUACCAAUUGCGAAGGCAUGUUACUACCAAUUGAUUGACGCUGAUGGACGAAAGCGUGGGUAGCGAACAGGAUUAGAUACCCGCGUAGUCCCUGUCUCUUAUAC